rnacentral:misc_RNA from 1 species
UUUCCGUAGGUGAACCUGCGGAAGGAUCAUUAAUGUGUUUGGGCCUCACGGCUCUUCAUUCCGACGCUGUGCGCCUUCGGGCUGCACGCUGAGGGAGCAUAUAUCCACCCCUGUGCACACACACGGUGGCGAGCUGGGUAACGGCUCGCCGCUGAUCUUUACACACGUCUAAAAGUCAUUGUAUGUUUAUUUGGGAUAAAAACACAACUUUCAGCAACGGAUCUCUUGGCUCUC